rnacentral:rRNA from 1 species
UAUAGCUUGACACUGAACAUUGAGCCUUGAUGUGUAGGAUAGGUGGGAGGCUUUGAAGUGUGGACGCCAGUCUGCAUGGAGCCGACCUUGAAAUACCACCCUUUAAUGUUUGAUGUUCUAACGUGGACCCGUUACCCGGGUUGCGGACAGUGUCUGGUGGGUAGUUUGACUGGGGCGGUCUCCUCCUAAAGAGUAACGGAGGAGCACGAAGGUUGGCUAAUCCUGGUCGGACAUCAGGAGGUUAGUGCAAUGGCAUAAGCCAGCUUGACUGCGAGCGUGACGGCGCGAGCAGGUGCGAAAGCAGGUCAUAGUGAUCCGGUGGUUCUGAAUGGAAGGGCCAUCGCUCAACGGAUAAAAGGUACUCCGGGGAUAACAGGCUGAUACCGCCCAAGAGUUCAUAUCGACGGCGGUGUUUGGCACCUCGAUGUCGGCUCAUCACAUCCUGGGGCUGAAGUAGGUCCCAAGGGUAUGGCUGUUCGCCAUUUAAAGUGGUACGCGAGCUGGGUUUAGAACGUCGUGAGACAGUUCGGUCCCUAUCUGCCGUGGGCGCUGGAGAACUGAGGGGGGCUGCUCCUAGUACGAGAGGACCGGAGUGGACGCAUCACUGGUGUUCGGGUUGUCAUGCCAAUGGCACUGCCCGGUAGCUAAAUGCGGAAGAGAUAAGUGCUGAAAGCAUCUAAGCACGAAACUUGCCCCGA